GAUGAACGCUGGCGGCGUGCCUAAUACAUGCAAGUCGAACGAGUUCUCGUUGAUGAUCGGUGCUUGCACCGAGAUUCAACAUGGAACGAGUGGCGGACGGGUGAGUAACACGUGGGUAACCUGCCCUUAAGUGGGGGAUAACAUUUGGAAACAGAUGCUAAUACCGCAUAGAUCCAAGAACCGCAUGGUUCUUGGCUGAAAGAUGGCGUAAGCUAUCGCUUUUGGAUGGACCCGCGGCGUAUUAGCUAGUUGGUGAGGUAAUGGCUCACCAAGGCGAUGAUACGUAGCCGAACUGAGAGGUUGAUCGGCCACAUUGGGACUGAGACACGGCCCAAACUCCUACGGGAGGCAGCAGUAGGGAAUCUUCCACAAUGGACGCAAGUCUGAUGGAGCAACGCCGCGUGAGUGAAGAAGGCUUUCGGGUCGUAAAACUCUGUUGUUGGAGAAGAAUGGUCGGCAGAGUAACUGUUGUCGGCGUGACGGUAUCCAACCAGAAAGCCACGGCUAACUACGUGCCAGCAGCCGCGGUAAUACGUAGGUGGCAAGCGUUAUCCGGAUUUAUUGGGCGUAAAGCGAGCGCAGGCGGUUUUUUAAGUCUGAUGUGAAAGCCCUCGGCUUAACCGAGGAAGCGCAUCGGAAACUGGGAAACUUGAGUGCAGAAGAGGACAGUGGAACUCCGUGUAGCGGUGAAAUGCGUAGAUAUAUGGAAGAACACCAGUGGCGAAGGCGGCUGUCUGGUCUGUAACUGACGCUGAGGCUCGAAAGCAUGGGUAGCGAACAGGAUUAGACACCCUGGUAGUCCAUGCCGUAAACGAUGAAUGCUAGGUGUUGGAGGGGUUCCGCCCUUCAGUGCCGCAGCUAACGCAUUAAGCAUUCCGCCUGGGGAGUACGACCGCAAGGUUGAAACUCAAAGGAAUUGACGGGGGCCCGCACAAGCGGUGGAGCAUGUGGUUUAAUUCGAAGCAACGCGAAGAACCUUACCAGGUCUUGACAUCUUUUGAUCACCUGAGAGAUCAGGUUUCCCCUUCGGGGGCAAAAUGACAGGUGGUGCAUGGUUGUCGUCAGCUCGUGUCGUGAGAUGUUGGGUUAAGUCCCGCAACGAGCGCAACCCUUAUGACUAGUUGCCAGCAUUUAGUUGGGCACUCUAGUAAGACUGCCGGUGACAAACCGGAGGAAGGUGGGGAUGACGUCAAAUCAUCAUGCCCCUUAUGACCUGGGCUACACACGUGCUACAAUGGAUGGUACAACGAGUUGCGAGACCGCGAGGUCAAGCUAAUCUCUUAAAGCCAUUCUCAGUUCGGACUGUAGGCUGCAACUCGCCUACACGAAGUCGGAAUCGCUAGUAAUCGCGGAUCAGCACGCCGCGGUGAAUACGUUCCCGGGCCUUGUACACACCGCCCGUCACACCAUGAGAGUUUGUAACACCCGAAGCCGGUGGCGUAACCCUUUUAGGGAGCGAGCCGUCUAAGGUGGGACAAAUGAUUAGGGUGAAG
rnacentral:rRNA from 1 species